UCUGGAGCUAAUACUUGCGAAAUGCGACAACCUCACGGGAGUCGUGCAUUUAUUAGAUUAAACCAAUCGGUCCUUCGGGACCGCCAUUUGGUGAACUCUGAAUAACUUAGCUGAUCGCACAGUCUCGUACUGGCGACAAAUCUUUCAAGUGUCUGCCUUAUCAACUUUCGAUGGUAGUUUAUACGACUACCAUGGUUGUAACGGGUAACGGAGAAUAAGGGUUCGACUCCGGAGAGGGAGCCUGAGAAACGGCUACCACAUCCAAGGAAGGCAGCAGGCGCGCAAAUUACCCACUCGCAGAACGCGGAGGUAGUGACGAAAAAUAACGAGGUGGCUCUCUAUGAGGUCCAUCAUCGGAAUGGGUACAAUUUAAAUCCUUUAACGAGGAUCUAUUGGAGGGCAAGUCUGGUGCCAGCAGCCGCGGUAAUUCCAGCUCCAAUAGCGUAUACUAAAGUUGUUGCGGUUAAAAAGCUCGUAGUUGGAUCUGCGCUCGGUGAAAGCGGUCGCCCGAUGGGUUGUUACUGCUUCUCCCGGGCUAACCAUUCGGUUUUCCCUUGAUGCUCUUAACUGAGUGUCCUGGGUGACCGGAACGUUUACUUUGAAAAAAUUAGAGUGCUCAAAGCAGGCGAUUUGCCAGAAUAUUCGUGCAUGGAAUAAUAA
rnacentral:rRNA from 1 species